rnacentral:rRNA from 1 species
CGGGUGAGUAACACGUGGAUAACCUACCUAUAAGACUGGGAUAACUUCGGGAAACCGGAGCUAAUACCGGAUAAUAUUUUGAACCGCAUGGUUCAAAAGUGAAAGACGGUCUUGCUGUCACUUAUAGAUGGAUCCGCGNUGCAUUAGCUAGUUGGUAAGGUAACGGCUUACCAAGGCAACGAUGCAUAGCCGACCUGAGAGGGUGAUCGGCCACACUGGAACUGAGACACGGUCCAGACUCCUACGGGAGGCAGCAGAC